rnacentral:misc_RNA from 1 species
UUGUAGGAUCUCCCAGGUAGCAUUCUUCACAGACAUCAGGCCGCAAGACGCAUCAUUUCACUGCGGCGCCGAAGGUCGUUUGAACGUGGCUUGUGACGCCAAUUUUGUGGGCAAAAAGGGGUGGGGGACCCCGUGCCCGUAGCGUUUUUUUCAUCCCAGAGAUGGAGCAGGAACCCGAGGGCCGCGACGACGACGACGCGAUGCGUGGACGUCGCGGAACACGGGUCUCGCUUCGGGGUUCGCCCAUAGCCGCGCCGUGUGAACGGGCAGCACUAGGCAAACGUGGGAAGGAUUGGCCAACACAAUUCCGUCUACGUAGGUAUGCAACACAGGAAACCGACGGCCACGGCCAAGGCAACUCGCCCUUGUGCCAACGAUGAAGAGGAA